GGAGACAAAAUGGCUUUUUUCCUCCAGACAAGAGUAGGUCCCGCCCACCACUCACCCACGUGACCUCAUUCCUUCAGGAUGCUGGCAGAGAGGGGAAGAGGAGGGGGAGGCUGGCGCGGCCGCUCCCAGCCACCGGGUGCCGGGCCCCCAGCCAGGACGAGACCCCUCCCUUCCCACGCGGCCCCCCCGACCCCGGAGGAUGGAUUCUCUUCUGUUACCUUCCGCAGUCAUCCCCCUCCCCUCAAAAUAUGGGUUCCCCCCACUGACCCUGUGAUGCCCACCCAUAGCUGGGGCGCCUGGAAAAUGGUGAAAUGGGGACUGGGCUGAAAGGUGGCCCGCGGUUCUCCACGUCCUGGCCUAGGGCAAAGGGCGCGAGGCUCCGGCGGAGGACGCGACGCUUCAGCCACGCGUCCGAGCGAUUUUCAUUCACUCCAAGUGACACUGCCUUAAAAUUAAUAACUGCAUCUGGGAGGGGGAGCGUGUCCUACCCGCUCUCUUUGCCCCCUCGGCGGCAGGGGCGCUGGCCCCGAAAAGCGGCGCACCGGGAUCCAGCCUGGGCGCCUGGCAGGGAGCAAUCGCGAGAGGGGAGUGGAGGUGCGGGCUGAGGCCGGGUUAGGGGUCUCGCCGCCGGGGGCUUGGGUCGCUCUGGCGGAGGCUGCGCCCCCGGCGUGCUCGGGCAGAGAAGAAUGGAGGCCUGCUGAGGACGGUAACUCAGGCUCCGGGCCUGGGACACAAUCCGGCCGAAAGCGAGAGGCCACACUGGACUAGGAAACGAGGCGCCGGGCUGGAAGGUGGGCCCGCGCCUUUUCUCCUGCCUGGCGCCGAUUCCCGCAUUUUUCGCUCGCGCCCUGCGCUGCGCGCUGCCUGUGCGCCUCCCUCGGCGCGGGCGGGAGAGUCGGGCAAGCGCCAAGACGGCUGGGCUCGACUCCCACCGGCGCCCCGGCUCCACCUGGUGCUGGGGCUCCGGUCCUCAGUGGCUCCGGCCGGAGGGAGAGAACGAGGAGGGAGGCUUGGAAACGCCGGGAGGAGCGGUGAGGCCGGCGCCGGGGAAGCGAAUCGAUACUGCGUUACUGGACGCCCGCGGGCCUCAUGAGGACAGUCGAUUCGCUCAUUCCUUAUUCACGAUUUAUUAGGGAUGGCGGCCGCGUCUGUCCCUCCAGAGAGCUUGAUUAUCCAUCCGGCCAGUAGCGCCAUUAAGCGCACUGACGGUGGGAGGCUCGAGUUAGAAAUUGGGAAAGGAAUCUUCGCCCAGUUUUGGAGCGCCUGCCUCUUCUUCCCUCGCUGCUCGCAGCCAAGGCAGCCCCGAAACUGGGGGCCCCGGCUGAAUGCUUUCGCCCUCUGGCCGCCGAGUGACCCCAGCUUGAGCCUGCAGCCACAACAGCGGGACGGGGGCGGGGAGGAAGAGGAAGGGCGGAGAGACUUCCUUCCAGAGGGAGUGGUCCGAGAACCGGCGGGAGAAGGGCCAAGGGAAGAUCCGGUCACCUGCUCCCAAGCCUGCAGGCGAAGAGGCGAGUUCACCGGCCCCAGAGGAAAGGGGACCCGCCCACUGUUCCCAGGGCAAAUGUGUCGCCGGCAUCCUGGACUCUGCCAGGGAAAACGCGCAUCCACUCGCUCUGCCGGGAGGGGAGCGCGGCAGGGACUCCCAGGCAGCCGCCCCUCUCUGGCUACAAGACCCCGAACAAGAGAAACCCGUAACAGGGCCUUUGCGGAGAUCUGGAUCCCACCCACCAACCACACGGACACCUAGGGGCUGCCCCCUCGGGGCAUUAUCAGCCAGUGGGAAGGAGGUUGACGUUCCUCUGCGGCCCAUGAAUCCUGGAGGGCUUCCCGAGGGGCCACCGAGGUCCAUCCACUUAUUCCUCGGUUGUUAAGCGCCAGACAGGAGAGAACCGCUAGAGAGGAGUGUGCUAAGACCCCUUUACCCACUAAAACUCCAUUUUCAUCUUUUGCGUCCUUGAUGACUAGUCCCCACAUUCCUGGCCUUUCUGGUUUCUCAGGAGAACCUUCUGACCAGCUCCUCCCACAUCGGAAGAGUUUUCUAGUCUUUUGUUCUACUGCUAGCCGACAGAGAAGCACCUGUCAUGUGCCAGUGUCAAAUGCUGCGCUAGGAACUGGGGACUCAAGGCACAAGAGCCUGGCUUUUGCGCGGGGUGCUCACAGGCCGGUGGGUGCAAACCCUGAGGGACACACAGCCUGUCCCUUUAAGCGCCCACCGCUUCUGAUGUGAGCGCUAAGAGUGAGUGAGUACUUGGGUAGGCUUCCACAAGAGGCCUCCUUUGAGCCGAAUCUGCAGAGACCAAGUGUCUAUGAGAACUGCUUAAGAGUGCUUUGCACAUUCUCCUCCACAAAGGUCGAGGCUCCCACCGCGCCCAGGAAUGCGCCUCGGCAAACAUUAGGCGCCCCUUGAUUUUGUGUUUGCAUCUCACGCGGUCCUCUAGCUGACAAGUGCAUCAGAAGAGUCACAGUGUCUGUCACAGUCUAGAGGCUCGCAGAGGACAGGAACGCGGGAAAUCUAGGCAAUUAUCUCCAGCAUAUACCAAGAGCUAUUGCGAGGAUCAGAUCCCUUUAAAAAUGGUGACGAGACAGGAGAGGGCGGCUCCUCUAAUGCUUUCCGGAACGUCUUUACCUCUGUGUCCUUUAUACCUUUUAUCUCCCCCAAACAAGGUCCUUAGUCAGUUUCUGCUUCUCUUUCCACAUCCUCCUCCCCCACUUCUCUGUGUAGUUCUAGGGGAAAAAAAAGUAUUGUUUUCCUUUCUUUUCUGAUGCUUCUCACUUUAAAUGUGUCUAUUGUCCCUCUCUCUGUCUUGGGGUCUUCCGCACUCACCCUGCCUAGUUCUCUGUCAUGUCCCUUCUUUCCCUGUAUCACAACAAUGUUCUCCCUUUCUCAUCUUUGUUUCUCUUCAUACCUGUUUCUCUGUGUCUCUCUCUCAUUCCCUUCCCUUCCAAAUGUAGUAUUUGGAGAUUGUAAUAUCGAUUGAGGCAGACAAUAAACAACUGUCGAACCUCCA